rnacentral:rRNA from 1 species
UACGUAGGGGCAAGCGUUGUCCGGAAUCAUUGGGCGUAAGCGCGCGUAGGCGGCCCGGUAAGUCCGCUGUAAAAGUCCAGGGCUCAACCCUGGAAAGCCGGUGGAUACUGUCGGGCUAGAGUCCGGAAGAGGCGAGUGGAAUUCCUGGUGUAGCGGUGGAAUGCGCAGAUAUCAGGAGGAACACCGAUUGCGAAGGCAGCUCGCUGGGACGUAACUGACGCUGAGACGCGAAAGCCAGGGAGCGAACGGG